GGACGAACGCUGGCGGCGUGCCUGACACAUGCAAGUCGGACGGUUCUUGUACCUUCAAGCUUGCUUGUUGGUGCAAGGAUAGUGGCGGACGGGUGAGUAACGCGUGAACAUCUACCCAUUGGAGGGGGACAACCCGUCGAAAGGCGGGCUAAUACCGCGUAAGCCGCGAGGUGAGAGGCUGCCUAUUGGUGGCCGCCGAUGGAUGGGUUCGCGUCCUAUCAGCUGGUUGGUGGGGUAACGGCCUACCAAGGCGAAGACGGGUAGCCGGUCUGAGAGGAUGGCCGGCCACACUGGAACUGAGACACGGUCCAGACUCCUACGGGAGGCAGCAGUGGGGAAUAUUGGGCAAUGGGGGAGACCCUGACCCAGCGACGCCGCGUGAGGGACGAAGGUUUUCGGAUCGUAAACCUCUGUUGUACGGGAAGAAGGAUGUGACGGUACCGUACGAGGAAGCCCCGGCAAACUACGUGCCAGCAGCCGCGGUAACACGUAGGGGGCGAGCGUUGUCCGGAAUUACUGGGCGUAAAGGGCGCGCAGGCGGUUAUGUAAGUCUGCUGUGAAAAGCAUCGGCUCAACCGGUGUCUUGCGGCGGAUACUGCAUGGCUUGAGUACUGGAGAGGGAAGUGGAAUUCCCGGUGUAGCGGUGAAAUGCGUAGAUAUCGGGAGGAACACCGGUGGCGAAGGCGGCUUUCUGGCCAGUAACUGACGCUCAUGCGCGAGAGCUGGGGUAGCGAACCGGAUUAGAUACCCGGGUAGUCCCAGCCGUAAACGAUGAAUGCUAGGUGUGGUUGCCGCAGGGCAUCCGUGCCGCAGUUAACGCGUUAAGCAUUCCGCCUGGGGAGUACGGUCGCAAGAUUGAAACUCAAAGGAAUUGACGGGGGCCCGCACAAGCGGUGGAGCAUGCGGUUUAAUUCGAUGCAACGCGAAGAACCUUACCAGGUCUUGACAGUGUAAAGAAUACUUAAGAGAUUAAGGGCUAAGAAUUAAGCUUGCUUAUUUCACUUUAUAAACAGGUGGUGCAUGGUUGUCGUCAGCUCGUGUCGUGAGAUGUUGGGUUAAGUCCCGCAACGAGCGCAACCCUUAUUGCUAGUUGCCAUCAUUAAGUUGGGCACUCUAGCAAGACUGCCGGUGACAAAUCGGAUGAAGGUGGGGAUGACGUCAAAUCAUCAUGCCCCUUAUGACCUGGGCUACACGCGUGCUACAAUGGCUAAUACAAAGAGUUGCAAAACCGUGAGGUAGAGCUAAUCUCAUAAAGUUAGUCUCAGUUCGGAUUGUAGUCUGCAACUCGACUACAUGAAGUUGGAAUCGCUAGUAAUCGUAAAUCAGAAUGUUACGGUGAAUACGUUCUCGAGUCU
rnacentral:rRNA from 1 species